GCCCCGGUAGCUCAGCCGGCAGAGCGGCGGCCUUGUAAGCCGUUGGUCCCGGGUUCAAAUCCCGGCCGGGGCUCCA
rnacentral:tRNA from 1 species